GGUUCUGAAAUAACCGCCCUCACCACGACAUUGCGGCGGUUCCUGGGGCGGUUUUCGUCAACCGCCGCCACCAUACCACCAUAUAAAGCACGCGAUUUUCACCCUCACCACCAGUUAGCGACGGUUCCUGGGGCGGUUUUAAGCAACCGUCGUCGUUUAGGGCAAUACACCUCUCUUUGUGUUUCGUUUUCCAGAUUUUGUAAUGUAAUUUGUCACUCCUGCGUGUAUUCCUUUCUUAGCCCCGCGCACAUCCUUCCUCAACCCUAAAAUUUCUGAAAACCUCCAAAUCUCUCAACCUCUGUCAACCCUAAAACUUCUGAAGGAAACGAAAUCAAAGAGAAACGAAAUCGAAGACAAACGAAAUCUACUCUGUAAAAGAAGGUGACUUAUCAUCUUGGAAACAAAAUCAACUCUUGCAAAGGAAAGGGCAAGAUUACAGGUUAGUGAUAACAACGACCGCGCUGUGAUUGAAGACAAACUUGCUUGGAUUGUCCACAUCGUAGCCGCAAUUCUUAAGAUAAAACAGUGUACGGGAAAGGGCAAGAUUACAGGUUAGUGAUAACAACGACCGCGCUGUGAUUGAAGACAAACUUGCUUGGAUUGUCCACAUCGUAGCCGCAAUUCUUAAGAUAAAACAGUGUACGGGUUGUAGCGUGGAAUCCCAGGAAGUGCUAGAUGCCGAAAUUUCAGCUCGGGUUCUGCAGUUGAUCAACGUAACUGACAGUGGAGUACAC